rnacentral:misc_RNA from 1 species
UUUCCGUAGGUGAACCUGCGGAAGGAUCAUUAUUGUAUAACCGAGGUGCAAGGCCUGUCGCUGAUCCGAAAGGUCGCGCACGCCCGAGUACUCUGACACACAUCCAUUACACCCCUAUGUACACCACCCCGCGGGUCCCCCCUUUGCGUAAUCGGAGGGGGUCUUACGUAUUAACACAACCUUUAUCUGCCGUGUGGGAUGUAUUUUUUGUUUUUGCGAUCACGCUAACAAAACAACUUUCGACAACGGAUCUUUUGACUCUCGAAUCGAGGAAGAACG